UUUUCUUUCCUCUGAGACUAAAGAAGAGGAAUGUCAUUUGCUAGUCCCACUGCCAUCUUAGGGUCUGUUCUUGUCUGCAAGGGAUUUCCAAGGCACACCCUGUUUCCAGCUUGAGCAAGGGAAGGAGGGCUCUGCUCUGUAGGCUCAUAGUGAAACCAGAGCUGCCUCAACGGAAGCAGGACCGCAGAGGGUCGCCUCAGGAAGCUUCCAUCCACCCUCGACAGAGUCACUGAACUUCAAGACAGUGUAGCCGAAAGUGACUGUUCACUCUAAAGGAGAUACAGCUUGUGAAGCUGUGGCAACCUGUGACUCAUGCCUGGGACAGUUUCUCUCAGUUUUCCUGCCUUACUUCCAACACUCUGCGCGAGCACUUGAAGAGGAAUCCCGGGAAGGAGUUGACAGGUGAGUCUCAUUUUUUUGGGCUGGGGCUUCUCGGGAUUCUCAAACCAGAUCACAAUCAGCCUUUAACAAAGGUUGUCAUCAGCUGAUUUCUUUUUACCCCAUCUACAGUGGUACUUUUUUCCUCCUACUGCUCUGCCAAGGAUGAAAGCAAGCUUGGAUCACUUCUCUCUUCUAAAAAGAGUGCCCCAUUGUCAAUUACAGAAUUCAAAAUGGCAGUAAAAAAAAUGGGAAAAGAGAAAUUUUUCAAAAGUUGCUGUUUGUUUUAAAAUAAGAUGGCAAUUUUUCCUAAGGAGUCUCAUAAUGGGAGCAUUAGAGAAUGUAAUAGAAAAAUAAGGUUGUCCAUAAAAACCGCCUCUCAACAGAAACAAUGAUGAAUUUCUGACUGGGUGCAGUGGCUCACAUCUGAAAUCCCAGCACUUUGGGAGGCUGAGGAUGAGGAAUCACCUGAGGUCAGGAGUGUGAGACCAGUCUGGCCAACAUGGUGAAACCCCGUCUCUACUAAAAACACAAAAACUAGCUGGGUGUGGUGUGGGGGAGGAGGCACCUGUAAUCCCAGCUACUCGUGAGGCUGAGGCAGGAGAAUUACUUGAACCUGGGAGUUAGAGGCUGCAAUUAGCCGAGAUAGUGCCAUUGCACUCCAGCCUGGGCAACAGAGCAACUCUCCAUCUCAAAAAAGUGGGGGAAAAAAGAUAAAUUUCUUAGAACUUUUAUGAGAGUAUCUUUUAAUAGGGUGGAUGACAUCAUACAGAAGUAUAGGUCAGCAAAGAUAAUUUAACACAGGCUUUGUCAGUUAGCUCCACUUGUCCAGACUACUGGGGAAAAC
rnacentral:lncRNA from 1 species